GACGAACGCUGGCGGCGUGCUUAACACAUGCAAGUCGAACGGAAAGGCCCUGCUUUUGUGGGGUGCUCGAGUGGCGAACGGGUGAGUAACACGUGGGUAACCUGCCCUUGACUUUGGGAUAACUUCAGGAAACUGGGGCUAAUACCGGCUAGGAUCUACUGCUGUAUGGUGGGGGUUGGAAAGUUUCGGCGGUUGGGGAUGGAAUCGCGGCCUAUCAGCUUGUUGGUUGGGUAGUGGCUUACCAUGGCAUUGACGGGUAGCCGGCCUGAGCGGGGCACCGGCUACAUCGCGCCGGAGCUGCGGCACAGCCCCCUACGGGAGGGAGCAGUGGAGAAGAGUGCAUUAUGGGAGGAAGCCUGGUGCAGCAAAGCCGUGUGGGGGAUGACGUCCUUCGGGUUGGAAUCCACAUUCGCCUUUGACGAAGCGUUAGUGACGGUAAUGGGUAAAGAAGCACCGGCUAACUACGUG
rnacentral:rRNA from 1 species